rnacentral:rRNA from 1 species
GACGAACCGUGCGAACGUUGUUCGGAAUCACUGGGCUUAAAGGGCGCGUAGGCGGGCUAUCAAGUCCGGGGUGAAAUCCUCCAGCUCAACUGGAGAACUGCCUCGGAUACUGAUGGUCUCGAGGAGGAUAGGGGCACACGGAACUGUGGGUGGAGCGGUGAAAUGCGUAGAUAUCAAGAGGAACACCUGAGGUGAAGACGGGUUGCUGGGCCGACACUGACGCUGAAGCGCGAAAGCCAGGGGAGCAAACGGG